AAUGGCGGCAUACGUGAUAACAAUUAGAAAUCAAUAGAAAACGUUUCUCCAGUUGGCUACUCUCUGAUCAUAUCGUUAUAAAUACAGGCUCUCUGCGGUCAACAUAACACCAUAGUUUAAACGGGUAAAACGAAACAAAACAGAAUAAUGAAUAUUAAAUCUAAAACGAUGGCAAUAUUUUCAGUAGAUAUUAUGAUGUAAAACCGUUUUAAAAUAAUCUUUUGAUUAUAAACUUGACACGG